rnacentral:rRNA from 1 species
AGAGUUUGAUCAUGGCUCAGAGCGAACGCUGGCGGCGUGCUUAACACAUGCAAGUCGAGUGCGCGUCUGUAGCAAUACAGAUGGCGCACGGCGCACGGGUGCGUAACACGUGGGUAAUCUGCCCUUCGAAGGGGAAUAACUCGCCGAAAGGCGAGCUAAUUCCGCAUAACAUUCCAAGGACCUUGGUUUUUGGACUCAAAGGCGUAAGUCGUCGGAGGAGGAGCCCGCGCACGAUUAGCUAGUUGGUGAGGUAACGGCUCACCAAGGCUAUGAUCGUUAGCUGGUCUGAGAGGAUGGCCAGCCACACUGGAACUGAGACACGGUCCAGACUCCUACGGGAGGCAGCAGUGGGGAAUCUUGCACAAUGGGCGAAAGCCUGAUGCAGCGACGCCGCGUGGGGGAUGAAGCUUCUCGGAGUGUAAACCCCUUUCGACCCGGACGAAUGCCCCGCAAGGGGACUGACGGUACGGGUAUAAGAAGCCCCGGCUAACUACGUGCCAGCAGCCGCGGUAAGACGUAGGGGGCCAGCGUUGCUCGGAAUUACUGGGUGUAAAGGGUUCGUAGGCGGUGUGGCAAGUCGGGAGUGAAAUCUCUGGGCUCAACCCAGAGUCUGCUUCCGAAACUGCUGUGCUUGAGUGUGGGAGAGGCGCGUGGAAUUGCAGGUGUAGCGGUGAAAUGCGUAGAUAUCUGCAGGAACACCCGUGGCGAAAGCGGCGCGCUGGACCACUACUGACGCUGAGGAACGAAAGCUAGGGGAGCAAACAGGAUUAGAUACCCUAGUAGUCC